rnacentral:rRNA from 1 species
UGAGUACGAGCUGCUACGGCAGCGAAGUGGGUGACGUCAAGCUUCCAAGAAAAGCCCUAUACCCGUUAAGGCAUGACUGCCUGUACCCGAAACCGACACAGGUGGGGUGGUAGAGAAUACCGAGGGGCGCGAGGUAACUCUCUCUAAGGAACUCGGCAAAAUGGCCCCGUAACUUCGGGAGAAGGGGUGCCACCGCAAGGUGGUCGCAGUGAAGAGGCCCAGGCGACUGUUUACCAAAAACACAGGUCUCCGCUAAGUCGCAAGACGAUGUAUGGGGGCUGACGCCUGCCCAGUGCCGGAAGGUUAAGGAAGCUGGUCAGCGCAAGCGAAGCUAGCGACUGAAGCCCCGGUGAACGGCGGCCGUAACUAUAACGGUCCUAAGGUAGCGAAAUUCCUUGUCGGGUAAGUUCCGACCCGCACGAAAGGCGUAACGAUCUGGGCGCUGUCUCGGAGAGAGGCUCGGCGAAAUAGAAUUGUCUGUGAAGAUGCGGACUACGUGCACCCGGACAGAGAGACCCUAUGAAGCUUUACUGUAGCUUGGUAUUGUGCCCGGGCUCUGAAUGCGCAGGAUAGGUGGGAGGCUUUGAUCCAUUGCUUGCGGGUGAUGGUGAGCCAACGGUGUGAUACCACUCUUUCAGAGCUAGGGUUCUAACGGUCACCCGUUAUCCGGGGACCGGACAGUAUCAGGUGGGCAGUUUGACUGGGGCGGUCGCCUCCUAAAAGGUAACGGAGGCGCGCAAAGGUUCCCUCAGGCUGGUUGGAAAUCAGCCGACGAGUGUAAAGGCAGAAGGGAGCUUGACUGUGAGACCAACAAGUCGAACAGGGACGAAAGUCGGCCUUAGUGAUCCGACGGUUCUGAGUGGAAGGGCCGUCGCUCAACGGAUAAAAGUUACUCUAGGAUAACAGGCUGAUCUCCCCCAAGAGUUCACAUCGACGGGGAGGUUUGGCACCUCGAUGUCGGCUCAUCGCAACCUGGGGCUGAAGUCGGUCCCAAGGGUUGGGCUGUUCGCCCAUUAAAGCGGUACGCGAGCUGGGUUCAGAACGUUGUGAGACAGUUCGGUCCAUAUCCGGUGCAUGCGCAGGAACAUUGAGAGGAUUUCUCCCUAGUACGAGAGGACCGGGAGGAACGCACCUCUGGUGUACCAGUUAUCGUGCCAACGGUAAACGCUGGGUAGCCAUGUGCGGAGCGGAUAACCGCUUAAGCAUCUAAGUGGGGAGCCCACCUCAAGCUGAGUGUUCCCAU